GAAAAAGCUACAUGGUAGCGAAACAAUUGUUGCCGUGCAUUUCACCUGUGCUGAAUAAAUCCUUCAGACUGAAUCGAGUGCUUCCGUGCUGUUUUCUUCACUUCGUAUGUUGGUGGAAUUGUAUCCUGUUCGACAGAGAGCACUGUGAGUCUGCAUUCAGAUGGCCGGACGUUCAAGGUCCAGCACCAGUGGAGCCAUUCAGGGAUAAAGUAGAGAGUCUGAAGAUGUCAGGAUAGGCCUUCCAAAGAGCCGGAACCACGUCCCGCGCCUUGGCCAACAAGAGGAAGAGGCGUCAGGAUUCGUGGCCGAGGACGUGGUCUUAGUGGCGCUUGGGCCAGUCGGCGAACAUUGGAGGGGCAGGACAAGCCGGAGAUCCUUAUAGAUGAUAAUCUCCUUAUAGCUAUGGUCGAGGCUCAUCCUGCUCUGUAGGAUUUGUCCGAUCCACAUCACGCCAAGCGCCAAUACUCAAAAGCUCUUUGGAACGAGAUUUACAGUGCCAUCUGUAACACCUGGGAGUACCUGUCAUCCCAUGAAAGAUGGAUUGUCGGUAAAAAAAAAAUUAGAAUUUUUUUUUUUUUUAGUUUUUAUUGUAAAUAAUUUUUUUUCCUUCUAGGCAAGCAGAUUAAAAAUCAUUGGGCAUCAAUCAGGGACUGGCACAUGCGGGACCUUAGGGAGGAGGAAGAGAGGCCCAGUGGAUCCGGGGCCUUUACUAAAACUCCAUGUCCACUGGCCACUCCUCGGAUUCCUACAAAAGUGCCAUGAGAUGAGGAAGCAUGUCCAAUUUUUUUUUAUUUCUUUUUUUGUUAAUAAACAAAAAAAAAAUUCUUUCAGGACACAUUCCAGUGUGAAGAAAAGUAGGGCUCAGACCCCUGGACAUGGCACCCCCCUCACCCCACCCUCCCCAGCCCCAGACAAGAUCAAGGGAAAGAACAUUCUCCCCUACCAGCUUCCUCAUUGUCCCGACCAAGUCCCCAGAGGAGCGAAGCAUCCUUUGGAGAUCUGGUCCGGCUGGUGAGGACUGGUAGGAGACAGCAUGGGAUCCUUGAAGAUCUCAUAGAGCUCACAAAGGAGAGCUUUAUGAGAUUGGAUGAUAAAGUGGAAGUCUUAAGGGGGAGGUUUGCCAGUUACGGCAGGCGGGGGCAGCAGAGCCGGUUUUAGGCUCAGCGUGGCAUUGGGCAAAAUCAAAAGUGGGGCCCCAAAAGUCGUAAUAGUGCACUAACCAUAUUUGUACAUUUUUGGUCACUUCAAAAUAGCAUAAAAAAUAUCUAAAAAGCUGUAUGUAUAUCCCCAUAUACAGGAAAAUAAAAGAGUUAUAGGGAUCAGAAAAGUACAAUUUUAUAUUUUUGUAUAGUUCCCCCACAUUAGGUUGGAAGUAUGUUCCCCCACAUUAGGUUGGCAGUAUAGUUCCCCCACAUUAGGCUGGUAGUAUGUUCCCCCACAUUGGGUUGGUAUAAGGGGUUGAUGUGUAGGAUCCAGAGAGCUGAUUUAAAGCUAGGAGUCCAUUGCAGUAUUGUGGUGCUGGUAUACACCUUGCAUAUUGGCAAUAUGGUUCCCCCACAUUAGGUAGGCAGUAUAGUUCCCCCACAUUAGGUUGUAGUUCCCCCACAUUAGGUUGGCAGUAUAGUUCCCCCCACAUUAGGUUGGCAGUAUAGUUCCCCCACAUUAGGUAGGCAGUAUAGUCCAUAGCAGUAGGUCCCGGGACUGGAGAAGUGGUGGUCGGAGCAUUGAAGAUGACAUGCAGCUGUAAACUUACCACGCUGGCCAGCGUGCGUCCUCCUCCUCAAUGCUCCAAUCCUCCGUUCCUAUGGGCGCACGCACGGGACAUCAGUGAUGUCCCUGCAUGUGCUACCUUCCGGCGGCCCCUGCGUUUUUAAAGUUAAUACAGGGCUUCCGAAAGGUUACAGGGACAUCCUUGUGUCCUGAAAAGAUCUUUCGGGACACAGGGAUGUCCCGAAUGUGACAGGGGGCCCCCUGAGGGAUUGGGGCCCUGGGUAAUUGCCCACUUUGCCCCGGCUUAAUGCCAGCCCUGGGGGGCAGGGCCAUCUACUAGUCCCCCUUCACACUCGCUACUUUAUCCCCAGAGCCUGGCUCCCAUGCUGGAGAAGCUUCCCCUUGAAAAGCAGUGUCAUUUCUGCAAGAAGGGGGUCGAGCUUCUAAGUAGACUCUGCUACCCCC